GGGUUUUGAACUGAGCACUCUGGUCCAAGCGAUAGGAGCGUCAAUCUCAGAGAAGCCCAGUUGUCUGGCGUGCAUUCUGAGGAGUGGGUUCUCUGUUGCACUGAGCCUCUCUGCGUGUUUCCUUCUUGUUUUCAGCAGAACAAGGGGAGGUGGACAUGGAGAGUCACCGGAACACCAGCGCAGAGCCAGCUGUUCAGCGUACUCUUUUAGAGAAGUAGAAGAUUGUCGGCGGAAACAGCCCAGCUGUUGGCAGCAGGGUUAGGACACCUACCGGAGGCUCCUCCCCAAAGAACACCUGCAUGAGAACAGAGACGGAGGCCUUCUGUUCAUGGCGGAUUCCUUGUUUUAAUCUUGCGAUGUUCUUUGCUUGUUGUUGCUGGGUGGAUGUUGUUUACUAACGCUGAAUUUUACAUCCAAACGGGGACAGGGACUUGGACCCCCAUUCUCCAAGACCCAGCGGGGUUUCCCAUGGGAUGUGAAAGGCUGGCCAUUAUUACGUCCCUAUAAGUCAAAUAUCAACCCCACCAAGGCACCGUUGUCCGGAAUCUCGGUUGUUUACAAAUCAUGUGUGCAUUGAGCACGUCUGAAGCUCCCACGGUCGCUUUGACCUUUUUUUAAUUAAAAUAAGGUAAGCCCUUCAAUUUGUUUCUUCAGUAUUUCAUUUAUUUGUGAAGACAUUUCUUUUUCAUGUCAGACUAAUAAAAAGAAAUUAGAAACCAAGUACUUUCUCUUACCUAAAUGUUUCACCGAGGGCAGAUGUUAAAGAAGGCUGUAGGCAUUUAAUUGGAUGGGUUCCAAGUUGUCUUUUUCUGGGGCUUUAAGGUAGAAUUUUCAACCUAACUGCCAGCUCUUUAUUUCCAAAAUUUCCUUUUAGGGCUCUUUUCCUUUCCCCUGUCCUGCCACAUUGAGACCAGUGCUCUUCUGCACCCAGAUACUCCAGCCAGAUACUCUCCUCCAUCCAGAUACUCCCUGUUUCCAGAUAUGCUCCCUGCAGCUAGGUUACCCCCCAAGUCCAGAUACUCCCUGCUUCCAGAUACUCCUCUGUAUCCAGAUAUUCCUCUGAAUCCAGGUAGUCCCUACGUCCAGAUACUGUCCUCCAUCCAGAUACUCCCUUGUAUCCAGAUACUCCCUUCCAUCCAGAUACUCUUCCUCCAUCCAGAUACUCCCUUCUAUUCAGUUACUCUCCUCUAGCCACAUACUCCCUUCCUUUUAGUUUCCUCCAUCCAGAUACUCCCUUUAAUCUAGUUACUCCCUUCCACCCAGAUACUCUCCUUGAUCCAGAUACUCCCUUGUAUCCAGAUACUACCUUUCAUCCAGUUACUCUCCUCCAUCCAGAUACUGCCUUGU